rnacentral:rRNA from 1 species
UACGAAGGGGGCUAGCGUUGCUCGGAAUCACUGGGCGUAAAGCGCACGUAGGCGGCUUUGUAAGUUAGAGGUGAAAGCCCGGGGCUCAACCCCGGAAUUGCCUUUAAGACUGCAUCGCUCGAAUCCGGGAGAGGUGAGUGGAAUUCCGAGUGUAGAGGUGAAAUUCGUAGAUAUUCGGAAGAACACCAGUGGCGAAGGCGGCUCACUGGACCGGUAUUGACGCUGAGGUGCGAAAGCGUGGGGAGCAAACAGG